rnacentral:tRNA from 1 species
UCUAGCUUAACAUAUUUAAUGUGGAGGGUUGUAAACUCUUUUAAGGUUUAUACCAGUUAGGAUUA